rnacentral:lncRNA from 10 species
CUCUCUGUCAUCUGCACUGGAGUGCAGUGGUGAAAUCAUGGCUCACAGCAGCCUUGAACUCCUGGGCUCAAGUGAACUCUCAAAGUGUUGGGAAUACAGGUGUGAACCAUUGCAUCCUGCUGGCUUUUUAAAUAUAGUAGAAUUGAACUCAUCUUUUUAUCUGACAUUCUGUAGAGAUCAUUACAGGCCCACGAGGUUUUGCUUUUUUUAUGGGUUCUUAAAAACUACACAACAUGAUAGUGCAAAUAUACACAAUGAGGAAGGUCUCUGGAAUCAAAUCCAUUUUUCUGUGAACCUGUACAGGCAGCUUACUUAUGUCCCUGAGGUGGGGAACAGGGCAGCCCUCCACUCCACAAUUUCUUCCUCUCUGCUCUCUUUCCUGUUUCUCUAUCUCCUCCUUUCUUCUUCUUUUUCUCCCAUGUCAUUUUUUUCUUCUCUGUCUUACCUUACUUGAGCCCACCAGGAACUCCCAGGGGUACCCAGAAGAACAGCUUGGCUGGAGGUGGCACCUGCAGCUGCAGGGCCACUGGUGCCCUGAUAGGAAGAAAGGAAAGUAGGUUCUUGUGCCACAAGAUUCAUCAUCAUUCAAACAUUCAUCAAAUUUUGAUUGAAGAUUUCAUUUCUGUCAAACAAUGGCUGAGAUGAAAAGAUGAAUUAGAUACGACCCAGGACAGAAGGCCCAGGACUUCUCAUUAUUGCUGAAAAAAGGAACAUGACAACAACAGGUAAAAAUGAAAUAUGGACAAAGUCUGGAAAUUAAUGUUUUAGUGGCAUUUGAGCUCCGUUGUGGAGGAUGGCAGAUGUCAUCCGGGCUACAAACCUGUGCUGACAAAGGCACAGGUUUGUUAUGAAUGAAACCUGGUCCCAGGGUGGAAGGACACCAGAAUCACUGAAGCAGGGGCAGCAGGCCCACUGCCAGGAAGAAGCAACCUUUUCUGGGCCAUGAGAACUUUUGUUAGUCUGAGGAAG